UAAUAGUUUGUUAUUCUGCUCAGGAUGAACGCUGGCGGCGUGCCUAAUACAUGCAAGUCGAACGCUUUGUGGUUCAACUGAUUUGAAGAGCUUGCUCAGAUAUGACGAUGGACAUUGCAAAGAGUGGCGAACGGGUGAGUAACACGUGGGAAACCUACCUCUUAGCAGGGGAUAACAUUUGGAAACAGAUGCUAAUACCGUAUAACAAUAGCAACCGCAUGGUUGCUACUUAAAAGAUGGUUCUGCUAUCACUAAGAGAUGGUCCCGCGGUGCAUUAGUUAGUUGGUGAGGUAAUGGCUCACCAAGACGAUGAUGCAUAGCCGAGUUGAGAGACUGAUCGGCCACAAUGGGACUGAGACACGGCCCAUACUCCUACGGGAGGCAGCAGUAGGGAAUCUUCCACAAUGGGCGAAAGCCUGAUGGAGCAACGCCGCGUGUGUGAUGAAGGGUUUCGGCUCGUAAAACACUGUUGUAAGAGAAGAAUGACAUUGAGAGUAACUGUUCAAUGUGUGACGGUAUCUUACCAGAAAGGAACGGCUAAAUACGUGCCAGCAGCCGCGGUAAUACGUAUGUUCCAAGCGUUAUCCGGAUUUAUUGGGCGUAAAGCGAGCGCAGACGGUUAUUUAAGUCUGAAGUGAAAGCCCUCAGCUCAACUGAGGAAUUGCUUUGGAAACUGGAUGACUUGAGUGCAGUAGAGGAAAGUGGAACUCCAUGUGUAGCGGUGAAAUGCGUAGAUAUAUGGAAGAACACCAGUGGCGAAGGCGGCUUUCUGGACUGUAACUGACGUUGAGGCUCGAAAGUGUGGGUAGCAAACAGGAUUAGAUACCCUGGUAGUCCACACCGUAAACGAUGAGUGCUAGGUGUUUGAGGGUUUCCGCCCUUAAGUGCCGCAGCUAACGCAUAAGCACUCCGC
rnacentral:rRNA from 1 species